GACGAACGCUGGCGGCGUGCUUAACACAUGCAAGUCGAACGGAAAGGCCCUGCUUUUGUGGGGUGCUCGAGUGGCGAACGGGUGAGUAACACGUGAGUAACCUGCCCUUGACUUUGGGAUAACUUCAGGAAACUGGGGCUAAUACCGGAUAGGAGCUCCUGCUGCAUGGUGGGGGUUGGAAAGUUUCGGCGGUUGGGGAUGGACUCGCGGCUUAUCAGCUUGUUGGUGGGGUAGUGGCUUACCAAGGCUUUGACGGGUAGCCGGCCUGAGAGGGUGACCAGCCACAUUGGGACUGAGAUACGGCCCAGACUCCUACGGGAGGCAGCAGUGGGGAAUAUUGCACAAUGGGCGGAAGCCUGAUGCAGCAACGCCGCGUGCGGGAUGACGGCCUUCGGGUUGUAAACCGCUUUCGCCUGUGACGAAGCGUGAGUGACGGUAAUGGGUAAAGAAGCACCGGCUAACUACGUGCCAGCAGCCGCGGUGAUACGUAGGGUGCGAGCGUUGUCCGGAUUUAUUGGGCGUAAAGGGCUCGUAGGUGGUUGAUCGCGUCGGAAGUGUAAUCUUGGGGCUUAACCCUGAGCGUACUUUCGAUACGGGUUGACUUGAGGAAGGUAGGGGAGAAUGGAGUUCCUGGUGGAGCGGUGGAAUGCGCAGAUAUCAGGAGGAACACCAGUGGCGAAGGCGGUUCUCUGGGCCUUUCCUGACGCUGAGGAGCGAAAGCGUGGGGAGCGAACAGGCUUAGAUACCCUGGUAGUCCACGCUGUAAACGGUGGGUACUAGGUGUGGGGUCCAUUCCACGGGUUCCGUGCCGUAGCUAACGCUUUAAGUACCCCGCCUGGGGAGUACGGCCGCAAGGCUAAAACUCAAAGGAAUUGACGGGGCCCCGCACAAGCGGCGGAGCAUGCGGAUUAAUUCGAUGCAACGCGUAGAACCUUACCUGGGUUUGACAUGGAUCGGGAGUGCUCAGAGAUGGGUGUGCCUCUUUUGGGGUCGGUUCACAGGUGGUGCAUGGCUGUCGUCAGCUCGUGUCGUGAGAUGUUGGGUUAAGUCCCGCAACGAGCGCAACCCUUGUUCACUGUUGCCAGCACGUUAUGGUGGGGACUCAGUGGAGACCGCCGGGGUCAACUCGGAGGAAGGUGGGGAUGACGUCAAGUCAUCAUGCCCCUUAUGUCCAGGGCUUCACGCAUGCUACAAUGGCUGGUACAGAGAGUGGCGAGCCUGUGAGGGUGAGCGAAUCUCGGAAAGCCGGUCUCAGUUCGGAUUGGGGUCUGCAACUCGACCUCAUGAAGUCGGAGUCGCUAGUAAUCGCAGAUCAGCAACGCUGCGGUGAAUACGUUCCCGGG
rnacentral:rRNA from 1 species